AAGUCGGAAAUCUCCAUUCAGGGCCACAAGGGGAUCUUCUAGCAAUCUUUUAUCUAUGAGAAUAUGCCAGCUACUUGCUAUCGAUGCAACCAGCUAUAUCAUGCUAAUGAUGAUUGUCGCUUUCCGUCAGAGGAAAAGGAGGGGGGGAGAUCGCUGCAAUCAUAGUUGUUUUCCCCAUGGCGGUGAAAGAUGGAGCGGCAAUGAAGCUGUGGGUGGAGACAUCCCGAAUCUGGCAUCCUCGAUCGGUUAGGGGUCCGGCAAAACCUAGGAAGGCAAAUGAUUCCAUCCCAAACUCCACGGCCCUAAGUUCCUCUCCUUCCGGCCCAAAUUCAUCGUGACCA
rnacentral:lncRNA from 1 species